rnacentral:rRNA from 1 species
AUUGAACGCUGGCGGCAUGCCUUACACAUGCAAGUCGAACGGCAGCACGGGUGCUUGCACCUGGUGGCGAGUGGCGAACGGGUGAGUAAUGUAUCGGAACGUACCUUUCAGUGGGGGAUAACUAUCCGAAAGGAUAGCUAAUACCGCAUAUUCUGUGAGCAGGAAAGCAGGGGAUCGCAAGACCUUGCGCUGAUUGAGCGGCCGAUAUCAGAUUAGCUAGUUGGAGGAGUAAAGGCCUACCAAGGCUACGAUCUGUAGCGGGUCUGAGAGGAUGAUCCGCCACACUGGAACUGAGACACGGUCCAGACGCCUACGGGAGGCAGCAGUGGGGAAUUUUGGACAAUGGGGGCAACCCUGAUCCAGCCAUGCCGCGUGAGUGAAGAAGGCCUUCGGGUUGUAAAGCUCUUUCAGCCGGGAAGAAAACGCAUGGGUUAAUACCCUGUGUGGAUGACGGUACCGGAAUAAGAAGCACCGGCUAACUACGUGCCAGCCGCCGCGGUAAGAC